GGGGAAUUUUCCGCAAUGGGCGAAAGCCUGACGGAGCAAUACCGCGUGAGGGAGGAAGGCUCUUGGGUUGUAAACCUCUUUUCUCAGGGAAGAAAAAAAUGACGGUACCUGAGGAAUAAGCAUCGGCUAACUCCGUGCCAGCAGCCGCGGUAAUACGGAGGAUGCAAGCGUUAUCCGGAAUGAUUGGGCGUAAAGCGUCCGCAGGUGGCUUUGUAAGUCUGCUGUUAAAGAGUCAUGCUCAACAUGAUAAAGGCAGUGGAAACUACAAGGCUAGAGUGCGUUCGGGGCAGAGGGAAUUCCUGGUGUAGCGGUGAAAUGCGUAGAUAUCAGGAAGAACACCGGUGGCGAAAGCGCUCUGCUAGGCCGCAACUGACACUGAGGGACGAAAGCUAGGGGAGCGAAUGGGAUUAGAUACCCCAGUAGUCCUAGCCGUAAACGAUGGAUACUAGGCGUGGCUUGUAUCGACCCGAGCCGUGCCGUAGCUAACGCGUUAAGUAUCCCGCCUGGGGAGUACGCACGCAAGUGUGAAACUCAAAGGAAUUGACGGGGGCCCGCACAAGCGGUGGAGUAUGUGGUUUAAUUCGAUGCAACGCGAAGAACCUUACCAAGACUUGACAUGUCGCGAACCCUCUUGAAAGGGAGGGGUGCCUUCGGGAGCGCGAACACAGGUGGUGCAUGGCUGUCGUCAGCUCGUGUCGUGAGAUGUUGGGUUAAGUCCCGCAACGAGCGCAACCCUCGUUUUUAGUUGCCAGCAUUAAGUUGGGCACUCUAGAGAGACUGCCGGUGACAAACCGGAGGAAGGUGGGGAUGACGUCAAGUCAGCAUGCCCCUUACGUCUUGGGCUACACACGUACUACAAUGCUCCGGACAGAGGGCAGCAAGCUAGCGAUAGCAAGCAAAUCCCGUAAACCGGAGCUCAGUUCAGAUCGCAGGCUGCAACUCGCCUGCGUGAAGGAGGAAUCGCUAGUAAUUGCAGGUCAGCAUACUGCAGUGAAUUCGUUCCCGGGCCUUGUACACACCGCCCGUCACACCAUGGAAGCUGGCAACGCCCGAAGUCAUUACUCCAACCUUUCGAGGAGGAGGAUGCCUAAGGCAGUGCUGGUGACUGGGGUGAAGUCGUAACAAGGUAGCCGUACCGGAAGGUGUGGCUGGAUCACCUCCUUUUAGGGAGACCGAAUCCACUCAAAUAUCGAAAGCAAUCAGUAAAUAGAUAUAAGAGAUGGUCAUUCCUAGGUCGGUCGCAACUAUUUGUGAGAGCUUUCAAACUAUGAUUGGUUCGGAAUUGGGCUAUUAGCUCAGGUGGUUAGAGCGCACCCCUGAUAAGGGUGAGGUCCCUGGUUCGAGUCCAGGAUGGCCCACCUGAAGAAGUAAAAAACCAAAAGUAAAAAGUAAAAACAAAGAACUUGAUUAUUUCUUUUGCCUUUUAACUUUUGCCUUUUCAUCUGGGGGUUUAGCUCAGUUGGUAGAGCGCCUGCUUUGCAAGCAGGAUGUCAGCGGUUCGAGUCCGCUAACCUCCACCUGUAGGGAAAACCAAAAGCCGGAAAAGAGAGUGAGAAUUCAGCAACAUGACAAUUGAGUCAGACUGCUGAGUGCAUCUCAGCCAGAACCUUGAAAACUGCAUAGUAACGCGAAAAAAGCAGGCAGACACAGACAUUCAAGUAAUGUUAAGUGUUUGCAUGGUGAACACCAAAUGUAAUGUGGUCAAGCUAAUAAGGGCUUACGGUGGAUACCUAGGCACACAGAG
rnacentral:misc_RNA from 1 species